UUAAGUUAUUAAGGGCGCACGGUGGAUGCCUUGGCACUAGAAGCCGAUGAAGGACGUUACUAACGACGAUAUGCUUUGGGGAGCUGUAAGUAAGCUUUGAUCCAGAGAUUUCCGAAUGGGGAAACCCAGCAUGAGUUAUGUCAUGUUAUCGAUAUGUGAAUACAUAGCAUAUCAGAAGGCACACCCGGAGAACUGAAACAUCUUAGUACCCGGAGGAAGAGAAAGAAAAUUCGAUUCCCUUAGUAGCGGCGAGCGAAACGGGAAGAGCCCAAACCAACAAGCUUGCUUGUUGGGGUUGUAGGACACUCUAUACGGAGUUACAAAGGACGACAUUAGACGAAUCAUCUGGAAAGAUGAAUCAAAGAAGGUAAUAAUCCUGUAGUCGAAAAUGUUGUCUCUCUUGAGUGGAUCCUGAGUACGACGGAGCACGUGAAAUUCCGUCGGAAUCUGGGAGGACCAUCUCCUAAGGCUAAAUACUCUCUAGUGACCGAUAGUGAACCAGUACCGUGAGGGAAAGGUGAAAAGCACCCCGGAAGGGGAGUGAAAUAGAACCUGAAACCGUGUGCUUACAAGUAGUCAGAGCCCGUUAAUGGGUGAUGGCGUGCCUUUUGUAGAAUGAACCGGCGAGUUACGAUUUGAUGCAAGGUUAAGCAGUAAAUGUGGAGCCGUAGCGAAAGCGAGUCUGAAUAGGGCGUUUAGUAUUUGGUCGUAGACCCGAAACCAGGUGAUCUACCCUUGGUCAGGUUGAAGUUCAGGUAACACUGAAUGGAGGACCGAACCGACUUACGUUGAAAAGUGAGCGGAUGAACUGAGGGUAGCGGAGAAAUUCCAAUCGAACCUGGAGAUAGCUGGUUCUCUCCGAAAUAGCUUUAGGGCUAGCCUCAAGUGAUGAUUAUUGGAGGUAGAGCACUGUUUGGACGAGGGGCCCCUCUCGGGUUACCGAAUUCAGACAAACUCCGAAUGCCAAUUAAUUUAACUUGGGAGUCAGAACAUGGGUGAUAAGGUCCGUGUUCGAAAGGGAAACAGCCCAGACCACCAGCUAAGGUCCCAAAAUAUAUGUUAAGUGGAAAAGGAUGUGGCGUUGCCCAGACAACUAGGAUGUUGGCUUAGAAGCAGCCAUCAUUUAAAGAGUGCGUAAUAGCUCACUAGUCGAGUGACACUGCGCCGAAAAUGUACCGGGGCUAAACAUAUUACCGAAGCUGUGGAUUGUCCUUUGGACAAUGGUAGGAGAGCGUUCUAAGGGCGUUGAAGCAUGAUCGUAAGGACAUGUGGAGCGCUUAGAAGUGAGAAUGCCGGUGUGAGUAGCGAAAGACGGGUGAGAAUCCCGUCCACCGAUUGACUAAGGUUUCCAGAGGAAGGCUCGUCCGCUCUGGGUUAGUCGGGUCCUAAGCUGAGGCCGACAGGCGUAGGCGAUGGAUAACAGGUUGAUAUUCCUGUACCACCUAUAAUCGUUUUAAUCGAUGGGGGGACGCAGUAGGAUAGGCGAAGCGUGCGAUUGGAUUGCACGUCUAAGCAGUAAGGCUGAGUAUUAGGCAAAUCCGGUACUCGUUAAGGCUGAGCUGUGAUGGGGAGAAGACAUUGUGUCUUCGAGUCGUUGAUUUCACACUGCCGAGAAAAGCCUCUAGAUAGAAAAUAGGUGCCCGUACCGCAAACCGACACAGGUAGUCAAGAUGAGAAUUCUAAGGUGAGCGAGCGAACUCUCGUUAAGGAACUCGGCAAAAUGACCCCGUAACUUCGGGAGAAGGGGUGCUCUUUAGGGUUAACGCCCAGAAGAGCCGCAGUGAAUAGGCCCAAGCGACUGUUUAUCAAAAACACAGGUCUCUGCUAAACCGUAAGGUGAUGUAUAGGGGCUGACGCCUGCCCGGUGCUGGAAGGUUAAGAGGAGUGGUUAGCUUCUGCGAAGCUACGAAUCGAAGCCCCAGUAAACGGCGGCCGUAACUAUAACGGUCCUAAGGUAGCGAAAUUCCUUGUC
rnacentral:rRNA from 1 species